UCCUAACCAUUUCCAGAAAAAGAUGGGCCAAGCUGCAAAGCCAGCCCUCAAAAAUUAGAAAAUAAUGUCUCUGCCCAUUCUCUCACUCCAGAACAUCAGCAGCUGGAGGUUUCAGGCACCAAGGGAGCGCUGGCCCAGCACACUGAUGUGGUUUCUUCUUGGAAGUCUUUUCACAGCUCUCUGCUUAUCCCUCACACAUCACAGGCACCUACCAUCCAGCUGAUACGGUCUUUGUUUUCUUGGCAGGAGCAAUUCUGCCUGCAGCUCUGGCUUUGCUGUAGGGUUUGUACAUGAACCUCAGCAAGACGUUUAGCUGAUGCAUUUGAGAAACGAAUAACAACACCUUCUUGGGCUAUUCAGUCCAACACAAACUGUAUUUGCUUGCAAAGCAGUCAGUAUAGAUGGAGUUGUGUCUGUUCUUCCUGGGGCUUAAGGUAAUACAAAUAACAUAAACAAUUUCCUCUUUUUUUUUUUUCAGUACUUUAAAACAUGAAGAGCAGUGCAGUAAUGCAUUUUUGAAAAAAACAGGCAAGGUUUUAUGUUUUUCCUUUUCAAAAGCCUAACAGGCCAUGUUAGACAUAAAAUCCCAGCACAUAAAUGCACACCCCUAACUGAACUCUGCUUUUGGGUCUGCUUUACAUUCAUCAUAAACAGACACUCUGAGCAAAUGCAGUAAGAAGAUAUGCUCUCAGUACAUUACUCACACACUUUUAUCAUCCACAUUUGACUGUUUUCCCCUGGGAAAAAUCUCUUUGAAUAUCUGUAGAUUCAGAUCUACAAACUGAGCCCUCAAUCUGCAUGAAUCCAUGCUCCGUGGCUGUGAAUUUUCACCGCACUGAGGUGAGAUGUAGGGUCACUUGAGAACAACUCAAUUUUCAUAAAGUGUAAAUAGAAGUCAGAGACUUCAUUUGCAGAGUUCUCAAUCAGCAUGAAAGGUUUAUACAAAUAGAGUAAAAGUUUGGACAAAGUCUCAAUCCCAGCUGUAAAUCAUCAAGAUAUUAAAGUACCACAUGGGUCUUUAGAUCUUGCAUCUAAAGGUUGGAUGACGACUUGAAACUGCAUGGAAUCUUCUAUACCAUUAAGGCUGUACAGCUCAGCUGAUCAAGUAGGUGCUGAUGCACAUUUCCAAAGGAUGUAAUCAUGGAGCUACCUGGCAGCUCAAGCAGCUCUCAGGCAAUGAACAGGCUGCCUUCUCAGCAAGCCUGCAGAGGACACACAAACAAGGGGUGAUUGAUGCAACACAGAAGAGCGAUGCUAUUUGAAGAAAUGAGGUGGAGAAAAGGGUUGGCAGGAAUCUCAUGAAGUUCACCACAGAGAAACGUAGAGUUCAGUAUAUGAGAAGGAAUUACCCAUGUGGCAGCACAAGCUAGGACCAUCUGGAUAGACCAGGGGUGUCCUGGUGCACUACGAGGUCCUCAGUGCAAUGCCUCCACCCUUGCAGCACAAGAUGGUCACAUCCAGAGGUGGAUUAGCAAAGGGGCAGCUAGCAGGCUGAGGGAUAUAAUUCUUCCCCUCUACUCAGAUCCUGAGAUCACAUGUGGGCACUGGACUCGAGCUCCCUAGUACCAGGAGCCAGGAAAAAGCCCAGCAAGGCCACUAGGAUGGUUGGGAAAAAGCCCAGCAAGGCCACCAGGAUGGUUGGGAGUGGAGUUCUGCAUGUGUAAAGGAGAGAAUGAGCUCUGGCUGCUCUACAGCUGAAGCUGUGGGGUCUCCAUCUACAUUUAUAUUCUGAUGUUCUCUGGAGUAGCCCUAAGCAACCAACCAUAUUGGAUUUGCUUUGAGAAGGGCUUGGAUGAGAAAGCCCCUCCAAGAUCUGCCCUCCAGCCUGUUAUCCUGUGAUUCCCCAAACCUGAAUUUUCUUUUUCACACUGUACAGACUAUGUUCCAGCCACACACCCUUUUCAAGGCAAACAGUAGAUGGUAUCUUGCCUAAAUAGCACCAAAAUACAGGCUGUCUGUCUUCUUUUCUUGGUUAUAAAGUAAUACAGAGGUGACUGCUGUAGGACAGGUGGCCCCUCGUGGAAGUUAGAUUGCAGAGGUGAAGUUCAUUGAUUGCUUGAUAAUGCAAGUGCCCACAAGCACUGGUGUAACAGAAGCAUUAGUGGUCCACAAACCGGACUGGCGUUUUGCAGCAAAAUACAUCCCUGCAGGUACAAACAGACAGACAAAACACUGAUGAAUUCUGCACAGUGAUGCAUGAGUUUUAUAAACGUACAAAGCAGCUGCACUAGGGUAUGGUGGGUAGUUACCCCUUUGGCUUUGUCACAGAAUCAUAGAAUCGUAGAAUCAUAGAAUCACAGAAUGACUUGGGUUGGAAGGGACCCCAAGGAUCACCAUGUUCCAACCACCCAGCCACAGGCAGGGCCAUGUUUUUGUUAACAGUCAUGAAUAAUGAAGUACUACGUUGGAUCAGGCAUUUCCUUCAGCUCCAUUUCGUAAAGGACCCUGAAACUCUUCCAGUGAGGUGCCUGAUGAAUUGCAGCUCCACAGAGUCGACGUUAAUGGGAAUGAUGUCAUUGCUUACCAGGCUCAGCGGACCAGAAAGUCCUCCCUGGAUCAACGCCGAUAGCAUCCCACUACAACCCAUUCCUGGUGUCUCCGCUUGCAAACCAAGUCAGCCUGCGGGGGAACCAGAAGCACAGAAGAAAAGAAAAACUUCAACCAAACCACUCAUGCAUUCCCUCCUGCUUGACAGCUCCCUGUUUUACACUGAUAAGGGAGACAGCCAGCCAUAUCCCUGUAGCCAUAAAACAACAUACAACAAC